rnacentral:lncRNA from 10 species
UCCUGACCUCAGACCUCAGGUGAUCCACCCCCCCCCCCCCCCCCCACCCCACGGGCCUCCCAAAGUUCUGGGAUUAUGGGCGUGAGCCACUGCGCCCAGCCUGUGUUUUUCUUUUAUAGUAGCCAUCCUAAUGGGUAUGAGGUGGUACCUCAUUGUGGCUAAACCAUGUACGUUUAAGAAUUUACACACACACACACACACACACACACACACACGUGAUGAAGCUGUAAGAAAAGGGAGAGAAUAAUGACCCAAAAUGUCAGCACAAGGAUGCCUCAGGGGUAGACACAGGUGUCUUCUUAGCGCCUUUUAGCCCACGCAUAUGUGCUUGCGCAGUCUCUCGGUGUGUUUUCUAACAUUUCACAAUUAAAUAAGGAGUAGUUGAUAUUCACAGCC